UGUGGCAAGCAAUACAAUAUGGUUUGCAUUUCUUAAUGGAAAAAGGAAAAGAGGGAGAUAGAGGGAAUGGGGGAAUACAGAUCACCGGUCUGGAUUCCUGCACUGAUCCCGCCAGCGACGGUUCCAGGAGGCACAGGAGGCAGCCAUCUUUUU